GGCAGGGGCAUUGUCAUAGAUACUACUUGAUAUGGUGGUGCAUGCCCGGGACCCCCACACUUGAAGGACUGAAGCAUGAGGAUUGCUGCAAGUUUAAGGCCAGCAAGGACUACAUAGUGAGACUCUGUUAAAACUACAAAACAAAACAAAAAGAGGCAAAAUGCAUAGGAAGCAUACAGGAAUCAGGAGACUAACAUGGUCAGAGAUUCCAGUGACUGUCUAGAAUCAAAGUUUUCUCAACAAGCUGAAACCAAAAAGAUGAUUAUAACCUGGAAAACAUGUCUCUGGAACCUUUUGAUAGAGUCAGUUUGGAAUGCAAAGCCUUCACAUCAUGAAAAGUAGAAAGGCUGACGAGCACUCUGAUGUUCUAAAUCUAAGCUCUCUGGUUACCUGUGUCAGAGGACCUGCCUCAUGCUCAUGCCUCAGUCUCAUCACCUCAGCCCUUACCUCUUCCUCACUCAGCUCCUGAGGACAAACUGGGAGGAAGAAAUUGAGUUGGAGAGAAGUGAAUGAUUUGUUCAAGGUUAUAGAGGUAUAGUAGACAGUAAAAUUACUCUUCUUCAAGAACACUGGUUAUUUGCCUUGAUUUUUUUUUAAAAGUGAAAUCAACAGCUUCACAUCAGCCACUGAUCAGGUACCAGAUGGCAAAAACUUUCAGUUGCUACCACCUAGGGCUAUAUUGAAACCAAUGAAAGGCCUGUAUCUCAUUAUCGGUCCCCUGAGCUCUGCAUUCUCCCACAUGGUACUGUCCUUUUCAAGUAGAAAAGUGACAUUAUUUGAAAAACUGCCCUUGUUUUAGGAUAACCAAAAAAAUUCAAUAAUUUAAACAGGUUUGUCCUUUUAGUUUUUGAUUUUGCAUGCCAUUAUUAAGCAUGCAUUUAAUACUAUUGCAACAGAAAUUAACAAAAAUAUCAAAUCACACUAAAUUAUACAAAAAACACUACAAAAUCUUCCUUCACACUUAAGAAUUUUAGAUGAUUGAGUAGUACUACCAGGUUUAGCAAAUAAAACUAUAGAAGAUCCAGUUUAAUUUAAAAUUAUUGAACAAGCUUUUAGUUUAUAUGCUCAAAUAUUAAAUAAAACAUACAUCCACUAAAAUGUUACUCUUUUUCUUAAUCUAAAAUUCAGUUAAAAUGUACUGUAUUUCAUCUAACAACUGUACAGAUGAAAAAUGGGUAGUUCAAAUUAUUUUGUACAACUAUGAACACAAGGACAUGUAAAUUGCUCAUAAAUGUGUGUUAUAGUGUCCACUAAAGCCACUUUAUACUUGUGGGAAACAGUAAUGUCCUCUAACCAUCAUAAUACCGAUAAUCUAUGAAGAAUAAAG
ensembl:lncRNA